rnacentral:rRNA from 1 species
GAUGAACGCUGGCGGCGUGCCUAAUACAUGCAAGUCGAGCGAACGGACGAGAAGCUUGCUUCUCUGAUGUUAGCGGCGGACGGGUGAGUAACACGUGGAUAACCUACCUAUAAGACUGGGAUAACUUCGGGAAACCGGAGCUAAUACCGGAUAAUAUUUUGAACCGCAUGGUUCAAAAGUGAAAGACGGUCUUGCUGUCACUUAUAGAUGGAUCCGCGCUGCAUUAGCUAGUUGGUAAGGUAGCGGCUUACCAAGGCAACGAUGCAUAGCCGACCUGAGAGGGUGAUCGGCCACACUGGAACUGAGACACGGUCCAGACUCCUACGGGAGGCAGCAGUAGGGAAUCUUCCGCAAUGGGCGAAAGCCUGACGGAGCAACGCCGCGUGAGUGAUGAAGGUCUUCGGAUCGUAAAACUCUGUUAUUAGGGAAGAACAUAUGCGUAAGUAACUGUGCACAUCUUGACGGUACCUAAUCAGAAAGCCACGGCUAACUACGUG